rfam:Sarcophilus harrisii ctg7180002484694, whole genome shotgun sequence.
AUCAUUGGAAUGUAGAUGUUUUAAACAAAGGUGUAGAAAUAAACGAAUUGUUUGUGAUUUAGCUAUGGAUCUAGAGACACAUGGAGCUUUCUUUUUGUCUUUGUUUUUAAAGGAACUCCA